rnacentral:rRNA from 1 species
GAUGAACGCUAGCGGGAGGCUUAACACAUGCAAGUCGAGGGGCAGCAUAGGGUAGCAAUACUCUGAUGGCGACGGCAAACGGGUGAGUAACGCGUAUGCAACCUACCUGUACAGGGGGAUAACCCGGAGAAAUUCGGAACUAAUAUCCCGUAAUAAUAUCCGGAGGCAUCUUUGGAUAUUAAAGUUCCGACGGUACGGGAUGGGCAUGCGUAACAUUAACUGGUUGGUAAGGUAACGGCUUACCAAGGCUAUGAUGUUUAGGGGUCCUGAGAGGGUGGUCCCCCACACUGGUACUGAGACACGGACCAGACUCCUACGGGAGGCAGCAGUGAGGAAUAUUGGUCAAUGGGCGCAAGCCUGAACCAGCCAUCCCGCGUGCAGGAAGACGGCCCUAUGGGUUGUAAACUGCUUUUCCAGGGAGAGAAACUUACGCACGUGUUGCGUGACUGACGGUACCCUGGGAAUAAGCAUCGGCUAACUCCGUGCCAGCAGCCGCGUAAUCAUACUCGUA